UCGCGACCCCAGGUCAGGCGGGACUACCCGCUGAGU
rnacentral:rRNA from 3 species